AACGAGUUCUCGUUGAUGAUCGGUGCUUGCACCGAGAUUCAACAUGGAACGAGUGGCGGACGGGUGAGUAACACGUGGGUAACCUGCCCUUAAGUGGGGGAUAACAUUUGGAAACAGAUGCUAAUACCGCAUAGAUCCAAGAACCGCAUGGUUCUUGGCUGAAAGAUGGCGUAAGCUAUCGCUUUUGGAUGGACCCGCGGCGUAUUAGCUAGUUGGUGAGGUAAUGGCUCACCAAGGCGAUGAUACGUAGCCGAACUGAGAGGUUGAUCGGCCACAUUGGGACUGAGACACGGCCCAAACUCCUACGGGAGGCAGCAGUAGGGAAUCUUCCACAAUGGACGCAAGUCUGAUGGAGCAACGCCGCGUGAGUGAAGAAGGCUUUCGGGUCGUAAAACUCUGUUGUUGGAGAAGAAUGGUCGGCAGAGUAACUGUUGUCGGCGUGACGGUAUCCAACCAGAAAGCCACGGCUAACUACGUGCCAGCAGCCGCGGUAAUACGUAGGUGGCAAGCGUUAUCCGGAUUUAUUGGGCGUAAAGCGAGCGCAGGCGGUUUUUUAAGUCUGAUGUGAAAGCCCUCGGCUUAACCGAGGAAGCGCAUCGGAAACUGGGAAACUUGAGUGCAGAAGAGGACAGUGGAACUCCAUGUGUAGCGGUGAAAUGCGUAGAUAUAUGGAAGAACACCAGUGGCGAAGGCGGCUGUCUGGUCUGUAACUGACGCUGAGGCUCGAAAGCAUGGGUAGCGAACAGGAUUAGAUACCCUGGUAGUCCAUGCCGUAAACGAUGAAUGCUAGGUGUUGGAGGGUUUCCGCCCUUCAGUGCCGCAGCUAACGCAUUAAGCAUUCCG
rnacentral:rRNA from 2 species